GGUUCGGGUUGGGCUAUAUUCUGGCCC
rnacentral:siRNA from 1 species